UGGGUCUAAACAUCUGUAGCUUGUUUGUUAAGUCUCUUGUGAAAUUCUAACUCUUAAGGUUAGAGCGUGCAAGAGAUACUGGCAGACUAGAGACUGGGGGAUGCAAGGAGUACAUUCAAGGGAGUGGUAAAAUACGUUGAUCUUGGAUGGACUAACAAUAGCGAAGGCACCUUGCAAUAACAGUUCUGACAGUGAGAGAUGAAGGCUAGGGGCGCGAAAAGGAUUAGAUACCCUUGUAGUCCUAGCAGUAAACACUGCGCACUAAACAUCGGGGUCUCUUCGAGAGACUACGGUGCUGUAGCGAAGGCGAAGAGUGCGCUACCUGGGAAGUAUAGUCGCAAGACCGAAACUUAAAGGAAUUGGCGGGGGAGCACAAGCC
rnacentral:rRNA from 1 species